UUCCCCUAAAGGGGACGAACACUAAAGGGGACAACCCUUUAGGGGAUGAAGAAGUCCCCUAAAGGGGAAGAAGGGGUUCAUCCCCGAAGUUCGCCUUUAGGUCAUCCCCAAAGUCUCUUCUUCGUUUUCUUCCCCUUCGGGGAUGACCUAAAGGGGAACUUUAGUUCUUCCCCUUCGUCUCUUCUUCUUCCCCUAAAGGGGACUCCGUCCCCUAAAGGGGACUCCGUCCCCUAAAGGGGACUCCGUCCCCUAAAGGGGACUCCGUCCCCUAAAGGGGACUCCGUCCCC
rnacentral:lncRNA from 1 species